AUACAAUAUCUUUAUUUGUAUGUGGUGCUGAGGACUGAACCCUGGCCACAGGCAUGCCAGGCGAGCACGCUACCGCUUGGGCCACAUCCCCAGCCCGAAAGAAAAUGUCUUAAAGAGCUUUUCAUCUUUUUUUCUUGUGGUAUUGAGGACUUAACCCAGGGGCACUCCACUGCUAAGCUAUAUCCUAUAUAACAAACCAGGAUGCCACUGAGCCGCUGGGCAUUUUUAUUUUUAUUCUGAGACAGGGUCUUGCUAAGUUGCUGAGGCUGGCCUUAACUUGCUAUCCUCCUGCCUCAGCCUUCUGAGUUGCUGGGAUUACAGGCAUAUGCCACUGCACCUGGCUUAAGAGCUUUUAUCUUAAUAAGUAGAAGACAGAAAAUUAAAAAGAUAGUGUUAAAUCAGUGAAGCAGAAAACAAAAAAUAAAAUUAGCGAAACCAUAAUGUGAUUCUUUAUGCUUUAUCAGAAAAAUUGAUAAGCCUCUAACCAGCUGACUGGGGGAAAGAGACAAGAUAUAAUUACCAAUUUGAAAAAUGAAAGAAGUGACAUAAAUGCAGGUCCUAUAGAUAUUAAUGGGAUUAUAAGGAAUAUAUGAAUAAUUUUUUGUAAUAUUAAAUUCUACAAUUUACAUGAAACAGAUAUUUCUUAAAGUCAUAAACUACCAAAUCUCACUUAAGAAGUAGACAGUGGCAUCCUGGCUACGAGACGAGACACCUGGGACCAUAAGAGGUGAAAUAAUGGAUUACCCAAGUCACACAGCUACUUAAGUAGUAAAAUCAUAAUUCAAACUCAGGUUUCUUGCCUCCCAAGAUUAUCAAAAUGAAUCUGGCCCAGUUCCAUCCAGACUGAUUGGCCACACAGAUUUAACUAGAGUUAACCUAAAAAUUGUCAUUUUGUGUUUUUUCUUUUGAGAUGCUUAUGUAUUUAAUAUAUCCC
rnacentral:lncRNA from 1 species